AGGGGUAACAGGGUUUGCUUGCAAACCGCUGACGACCGGCGCACGGGUGCGUAACGCGUAUAGAACCUACCCUUUACAGGGAGAUAGCCCGGAGAAAUCCGGAUUAAUAUCCCAUAGUAAUAUUUUAUGGCAUCGUAAAAUGUUUAAAGUUACGACGGUAAAGGAUGGCUAUGCGUCUUAUUAGCUAGUAGGUAAGGUAACGGCUUACCUAGGCUACGAUAAGUAGGGGCCCUGAGAGGGGGAUCCCCCACACUGGUACUGAGACACGGACCAGACUCCUACGGGAGGCAGCAGUGAGGAAUAUUGGACAAUGGGCGGAAGCCUGAUCCAGCCAUGCCGCGUGCAGGAAGACAGCCCUACGGGUUGUAAACUGCUUUUAUACAGGAAGAAUAAGGGGUACGUGUACCCUGGUGACGGUACUGUAAGAAUAAGGACCGGCUAACUCCGUGCCAGCAGCCGCGGUAAUACGGAGGGUCCGAGCGUUAUCCGGAAUCAUUGGGUUUAAAGGGUCCGCAGGCGGGCAAUUAAGUCAGGGGUGAAAUGCUGCAGCUCAACUGUAGCACUGCCCUUGAUACUGGUUGUCUUGAGUUAUAGUGGAGUGGCUGGAAUAUGUAGUGUAGCGGUGAAAUGCAUAGAUAUUACAUAGAACACCAAUCGCGAAGGCAGGUCACUAACUAUUAACUGACGCUGAUGGACGAAAGCGUGGGGAGCGAACGGGAUUAGAUACCCCGGUAGUCCACGCCGUAAACGAUGGAUACUAGCUGUUGGGUUUUUUUAACUCGGUGGCCAAGCGAAAGUGAU
rnacentral:rRNA from 1 species